rnacentral:rRNA from 1 species
UACAGAGGUCCCAAGCGUUGUUCGGAUUCAUUGGGCGUAAAGGGUGCGUAGGUGGCGCCGUAAGUCAGGUGUGAAAUCUCGGGGCUUAACUCCGAAACUGCAUUUGAUACUGCGGUGCUUGAGGACUUGGAGAGGAGACGUGGAAUUUACGGUGUAGCAGUGAAAUGCGUAGAGAUCGUAGGGAAGACCAGUGGCGAAGGCGGGUCUCUGGACAGUUCCUGACACUGAGGCACGAAGGCCAGGGGAGCAAACGGG